CCUACGUGAGGCUGCAGUGGGGAAUAUUGGACAAUGGGGGGAACCCUGAUCCAGCGACGCCGCGUGAGUGAAGAAGUAUUUCGGUAUGUUAAGCUCUAUCAGCAGGGAAGAAAAUGACGGUACCUGACUAAGAAGCCCCGGCUAACUACGAGCCAGCAGCCGCGGUACUACGUCGGGAGCAAGCGUUAUCCGGAUUUACUGGGGGUAAAGGGAGCGUAGGCGGUGCAGCAAGUCUGCCGUGAAAGGUCCGGGCCCAAACCCGGGACUGCUGUUGAAACUGGUGCACUGGAGUAGAAGAGAGGUAAGCGGAAUGCGUGGUGUAGCGGUGAAAUGCGUAGAUAUUAGGAGGAACCCCAGUUGCGAAGGCAGCUUACUGGACUGUAACUGACGUUGAGGCACGAAAGCGUGGGGAGCGAACAGGAUUAGAUACCCCAGUAGUC
rnacentral:rRNA from 1 species